AACGAACGCUGGCGGCAGGCUUAACACAUGCAAGUCGAGCGCCCCGCAAGGGGAGCGGCAGACGGGUGAGUAACGCGUGGGAAUCUACCCAUCUCUACGGAAUAACGCAUGGAAACGUGUGCUAAUACCGUAUACGUCCUUCUGGAGAAAGAUUUAUCGGAGAUGGAUGAGCCCGCGUUGGAUCAGCUAGUUGGUGGGGUAAAGGCCUACCAAGGCGACGAUCCAUAGCUGGUCUGAGAGGAUGAUCAGCCACACUGGGACUGAGACACGGCCCAGACUCCUACGGGAGGCAGCAGUGGGGAAUAUUGGACAAUGGGCGCAAGCCUGAUCCAGCCAUGCCGCGUGAGUGAUGAAGGCCCUAGGGUUGUAAAGCUCUUUCACCGGUGAAGAUAAUGACGGUAACCGGAUAAGAAGCACCGGCUAACUUCGUGCCAGCCGCCGCCGUAACAC
rnacentral:rRNA from 1 species